GUCAAGGAAAAAAGUAAAUUUCAUUAAUAUGGAAAAGGAUCACAAAAUUUUUUUAGCUCCGGACUUCUUAACAGUGUCCCGAGCUUCCAUGAGGUCACCCUCUACAUUCAGAUUGUCUCCCGAAAGAGGAAUUAAAUUAGCUACCUCAUCACAAACCAUCGUUGCCUGCCCGCCAUCCUUAAUUUCCUAACCAGCCUUCUUCCGAGAUUUAUUUCUGAUUUUCUCAAUGUCCAUUUCUUCUAAAAAGCUCAAAUCGACAUCUGAAAACUCAUUCUUGACAGUCUCCUUCACUGCCUCCUCACAGCUGGUAAGAAGAAAAGACAUCUUGGAAUAGAAGCUUUCUUUCUCAGCCUCCAAGCUCUUGAUAGUAGAGGACUGAUCAGCAAACUUCGAAGAUAGUGAGGUGCAUUCAAGCUCUAAAUCAGCAACCCUCUAGUUGGAUGUCCUCUUCUCUGCUAAGGUUUAGUUGAGCUAAGUAGUUGCAUUCUCAGCCUAAAGCUGAGCUGCUUGAAGGUCGC
rnacentral:lncRNA from 1 species